rnacentral:sRNA from 2 species
GUUAUGAAGCAGCCUAAGUUGGCCUUCCUUCCUGAAGGUCAACGCGGGGGAACCAGGUUCCUCAAAGCAAUUUGAGGAUGGGGCGUAAGAUUGCGGGUAACCGCGAUCAAGGUCACUUCCAGGACCGAGCCCGUCAGCUAACCUCGUCGGCAAUUGGAAGGGCGAU